UACGAAGGGUGCAAACGUUGCUCGGAAUUAUUGGGCGUAAAGCGCACGUAGGCGGCUCCAUAAGUCGGAUGUGAAAUCCCUCGGCUCAACCAAGGAAGUGCACCCGAAACUGCGGAGCUUGAGUAUGGAAGAGGGUCGCGGAAUUCCCGGUGUAGAGGUGAAAUUCGUAGAUAUCGGGAGGAACACCAGUGGCGAAGGCGGCGACCUGGGCCAAUACUGACGCUGAGGUGCGAAAGCGUGGGGAGCAAACAGG
rnacentral:rRNA from 1 species